AUGCUUAUUUCCGCAGCACAUCAACUAAAACUGGAAUGAUACUUCAAAGAUUAGUAUGGCCCCUGUACAAGUAUAACAUACAAGUUUGUAAAGCAUUCCACAUUUUU
ensembl:snRNA U6 U6 spliceosomal RNA